ACGAACGCUGGCGGCGUGCCUAAUACAUGCAAGUAGAACGCUGAAGAGAGGAGCUUGCUCUUCUUGGAUGAGUUGCGAACGGGUGAGUAACGCGUAGGUAACCUGCCUUGUAGCGGGGGAUAACUAUUGGAAACGAUAGCUAAUACCGCAUAACAAUGGAUGACACAUGUCAUUUAUUUGAAAGGGGCAAUUGCUCCACUACAAGAUGGACCUGCGUUGUAUUAGCUAGUAGGUGAGGUAAUGGCUCACCUAGGCGACGAUACAUAGCCGACCUGAGAGGGUGAUCGGCCACACUGGGACUGAGACACGGCCCAGACUCCUACGGGAGGCAGCAGUAGGGAAUCUUCGGCAAUGGGGGCAACCCUGACCGAGCAACGCCGCGUGAGUGAAGAAGGUUUUCGGAUCGUAAAGCUCUGUUGUAAGUCAAGAACGGGUGUGAGAGUGGAAAGUUCACACUGUGACGGUAGCUUACCAGAAAGGGACGGUUAACUACGUG
rnacentral:rRNA from 1 species